CCCUCCCCAGGUGAGACGAGGUGGACCAGCCGGCCCGCGGCGCCCCCGCCUGCCCCCUGCGGGGCUCUGCUCCGAGGGAGGUGCGCGGCUUCCAUGAACUUUUUUUUUCCCCAUUAGAAGUUUGGUCAGUUAAAGGAUAGAACCUCCUCCGGGAGUCCGGUUAGAGAUGGAAGCCGGAAAGAGCUGAACGUGCCCGGAGAACGAGUGCGCAGAAAGCUAGGGUCUCGGGCAACCCCGGCGGCGCCCGGCCUUCGCGGCGGCGGGGAAGACCCUGCAGACUCUGGGGAUUCGAGGCGGCGUAGAGGGGGAGCAGCCGGAGGCGGGUGCUCCCAGCGCACUGGCCCUCGGAGAAGCCGCCCAAUUACGAGCACUCGCCACCGAGGCUCCCGAGACGCCCAGCUGCAAGGGCAGCGACCUGAAGCUUCACCCCCCUCCUUCCUCGACCCGGGUCUCCUCCGUCGAGGCUAGCGCGUCUCAGAGGACCCCAAACCUCGCGCUCCCAGCUCUGGGUCCGGACUCGCCGGCGUCCCCACCCUCCAGCGUCGCCGCCUGGCGCCGGCUUCUCGCUCCUCUUGCCCUCGUCGUCCCGCGUCCGGAAGCGCGAUGGCCUCACCGCAGCCCCGGGUAUGACAGCUGGCUGGCAUAGGCAAGGAAGUCUGUGUGUAACCCAGACAGACGGAAUCAGCACCGAAGGAGGCGAAGCAAAAGUGGAGAGACACAGGGAGUACGAUGAAGAAACUGAGGCACAGAGUGAACAACUUGCCCAACUGGCCCAGCAGAUGAGUGGCGGGGCCAGGUUCAAACCCUGGUCAUCGGUUUGCAUUUCAAUUCUACACCUGCUGUUUUUCAUAAUAACAAAAGAAAAUGUUCAACCCAUUCUUCAUUGUCAGAAUUGCAUUACCAAGGUUGAAAUAUAAUAUAAAAGAUAUCAAAGGAAUGGGCAUAUAUAAAAUAAUUAUUAAAAAUAAAAUAGUUUUAAAUAUGCAAAAAAAAAGUGUACCUUAAGGGGUCUGUGGGGCAAAGGGAGAAAGUGAAGAGAAGAGACAGCGUCAUGGCGGAGGUGUAGGGGAGCAAAGGUGUAGGGAGCAAAGAAAGAGUGCUAAGUCAAGGUCAGGACAUCAUUAACCAAACUCUUCACAACUGAAACUGCUUUCCUACCCUGCAGAGAAGCUGUGAUUAUGGCAGAGCUUUUCCCCAACUUGUAGAAAACUGGACCAUGGCCCCUGGCUGCCACGCUUCUCCUGAGUCGUGAGCAGUUCUUUAAAAUAAAACUUUCUGUCCUAAUGGAGCUCUGAUUCUCUGGGGUCAUUAACUGAGUUACAGCUGUGUUAAGAGAGAAAACUGCAGAGUUUUGUAGUGGACACUCCCUCUAGGAUGAAGGACUAGGCCUUCUGCUGGCAGAAGCCCCUCAGCUGUCAGGGCCCUUUGGGAACUGUGUCACCCUGCCCUUGAGGGCAGAUCAGUCCAAUGACCCACCAGCAGAGUGUGAAGGGACAGUGCCCUGGCUCCAGCUGGCUCCAUACUGAAGGACCACCCCAGCAUCAAAGCUUCGCAAACCAGCUUCUCCAUUUGCCCAAUCUCGCUGCUAUCCCUUCUCUUCCAGAGAGACUGAUUCCAAAUGCACUGAUAAGCUGAUAAAUUACUCUUCAUGUUAGAGUCUAUUCCCCAAAAAACACAACUUGCGACUUUCAUGCACUGUCCUGUAUCUAUGUAUCUAUCUCUAUCUGUUUGCCUGGUGACCCCAAGUUCCAACCACUGCAGUUCUAGCAGAUUUCUCUUCCUUCUACACCAGCGAGACACCAUUUUAAGGGAACUGAUUAACUUGUCCAUAUGGACAGGACAGCAGGGGUCCCCUCAGGCUUGGGUCACACUUUGCGAUCCUCACUGAUAGAGGCAUUCAGUGGUUAUUUCAGAAGACUGAGACACUUGAAGACAUAGACAUGAUAACCAUUGUCCUGACUAUCUCUGGGCUGGGAUCCCUGGAUGCUAAAAAAUUCUUAAUAAAAUAUGUUCACUAAAGAGAAAGCUAGUUUUAUUCCCGAAUAAUACGAGGACAUAUAGGGAUGGGCUUAGGAACUAACCUACUUUUUUCUGGUUGAUUGGUGUAUAUGUGUGUGAUUGUUUUUUGUUGUUUUGUUUUAAGUAGCAAAGGCCGAUGCAGAUUUUACAAACAUGUCUUUGAAACAAGGCUGACCAAAUUUCAGGCCUGCACAUUUCUGUGGGUUCAAUGAUCAAAUG